AAUAUUGGACAAUGGGGGCAACCCUGAUCCAGCCAUGCCGCGUGUGUGAAGAAGGUCUUCGGAUUGUAAAGCACUUUAAGUGGGGAGUAAGGGCUUUAGGUGAAUACCCUGAAGUUUUGACGUUACGAACAGAAUAAGCACCGGCUAAGUCUGCGCCAGCAGCAGCGGUAAUACAGAGGGUGCAAGCGUUAAUCGUAAUUAAUGGGCGUAAAGCGCGCGUAGGUGGUUCAGUAAGAUGGGUGUGAACUCCCCGGGCUUAACCUGGGAACUGCUUUCAUAACUGCUGAGCUGAAGUACGGUGGAGGGUAGUGGAAUUUCCUGUGUAGCGGUGAAAUGCGUAGAUAUAGGAAGGAACACCAGUGGCGAAGGCGACUACCUGGACUGAUACUGACACUGAGGUGCGAAAGCGUGGGGAGCAAAC
rnacentral:rRNA from 1 species